GUUUGGUUCAUCUGUGACAUUCUAUUUUUGCCAAACCUGCUCAUCCCUAUUCCCUUGCAGUCGAGGGCAGAAAUUUGCAACUGCAGUUUCUCCAACCCAUGCUGCGUGCUCGUCAGUUGUGGGCGAAUGCAUGUGCAAAGUGCAAGCAAAAAUUGCAGGGCCCAGCCAGGAAGACAGAACAAACCCAGAGGAGCUCAAAGGGUUGGGAGAUUGGAUCAUUCCAUUCUUCCCCAAUCGUUGACUUUAAGUUUCGCAAGACACAAUUCAGCCUAAGGUUCCUUAAAAAAACUGAAUCAACUCCUACGUCUACCUAACCCGAUCGAAGCCUUGGAACUCUUCAAUUUUGGAAGACCGUUUCAUGGGUCCUGGAACCGUUCCACAUCAAUAAACCUGCGAGAAGAGCCCGCAGGUCAUUAGGCAGUCAUUCCACAUCCCACUAGUCUAUUAACCAAUGAUAGAUUAUUAAAGAAUUAAGCCAAGUUUCCUCCCCGACGAGCGGCGAGAAGAAUGGAAUGAUCCAAAACAAAACAGCGCCAAGUGCAUCGGCCUAGUCAAGAUGAUUGUGAUUGCUGAUGGCUUGGAGUCCUCCAACAUCAUCAUCAAUGGCAAAUCUUCCCCAAAAGGCGAUUACCAACCACGUUCUGCCGAGAGUGUGGCCGGGUUAGUGCAAAACCCAUCAGACGUCUGCCUGUCUACAAGUCUCAGUUUAACAUUGGUCGGUCAAUAUCAAGAUGACACUCAUCCAACGGGAAUCCUUGACUAAUGAAACUGCUGACCCUUGGAUUAAUGCCACGGUUCAUCCCGCCAACCAUGAACCAAGAAAACACAAUUCUCCCUUGAGAGGUGUAUUGGAACCUGUAUAGACUGUGGGCUCACUCGUGUUCUCCGGCUGCCUCUAUUGCUUCGCUCGCUCUGAGGUUUUGUUAUUUAUGAUGCGUCGUCGAUCGUACUAUCAUCAUCCAUCCAGCCAUCGAGCAGUUCCGAGCUAGCUCUCAGACUGUCUGCAAUUUUGCAUGGUGCGACUGCAGACGAUGCAGGCGCAAAAAGGCAGUGAAUGGCGAAGAGACGACGUCUCAAACUGCAAGGGUCAUCGAACUGCUUCUUGUGCCACAAGAGUUCUCGAUUCAGCCACAAUUGUUGCCUGAAAAUAAAUACACCACAUGAGCAACGGUUGAAAUAGCUAUUUCAUCCGAUCCUCUCAUCCCAAGGUCGGAUUAGUCGUUGGAAACCAUUGACAACAGAAAAAGAUGCCAUUAUGGACAAUUAAUGAAACACCAUUGUCAUAUUGUAGUAUAAUAGAACGAUGGAAUGAAAAAGCAAUGUAUCAACGACUAACACAGGAUUACGAUUCGACUAGGUUGCGUGAUUGUGAAUAAAAGUUCCCCUCUUUUA